rnacentral:rRNA from 1 species
GAUGAACGCUAGCGGCAGGCUUAACACAUGCAAGUCGAGGGGCAGCGCGGGAUAGCAAUAUCCUGGCGGCGACCGGCGGAAGGGUGCGUAACGCGUGAGCGACAUGCCCGUUGCCCGGGGACAACCGGUGGAAACGCCGACUAAUCCCCGAUGGGAUAUUGUGCCGCAUGGCACGAUAUUGAAAGUUACGGCGGCGACGGAUUGGCUCGCGUCCGAUUAGCUUGUUGGCGGGGCAACGGCCCACCAAGGCUGCGAUCGGUAGGGGUACUGAGAGGAAGGCCCCCCAGAAUGGGACUGAGACACGGCCCAUACUCCUACGGGAGGAGGCAGUGAGGAAUAUUGAUCAAUGGGCGGAAGCCUGAACCAGCCAGGCCGCGUGCAGGAAGGAGGCCCUAUGGGCUGUGAACCGCUUUUGCCUGGAGGCAAUAAGGGCGUCGCGCACGUCCGAUGAGAGUACCAGGCGAAUAAGCAUCGGCUAACUCCGUG